UACGAAGGGUGCAAGCGUUACUCGGAAUUACUGGGCGUAAAGCGUGCGUAGGUGGUUCGUUAAGUCUGAUGUGAAAGCCCUGGGCUCAACCUGGGAAUGGCGAUGGAGACUGCGAGGCUAGAGUUUGGCAGAGGGGGGUAGAAUUCCACGUGUAGCAGUGAAAUGCGUAGAGAUGUGGAGGAACACCGAUGGCGAAGGCAGCCCCCUGGGCCAACACUGACGCUCAGGCACGAAAGCGUGGGGAGCAAACAGG
rnacentral:rRNA from 1 species